AGGCAGCAGUGGGGAAUAUUGCACAAUGGGCGAAAGCCUGAUGCAGCGACGCCGCGUGAGGGAUGAAGGCCUUCGGGUUGUAAACCUCUUUCAGCAGGGAAGAAGCGCAAGUGACGGUACCUGCAGAAGAAGCGCCGGCUAACUACGUGCCAGCAGCCGCGGUAAUACGUAGGGCGCAAGCGUUGUCCGGAAUUAUUGGGCGUAAAGAGCUCGUAGGCGGUUUGUCGCGUCUGGUGUGAAAACUCGAGGCUCAACCUCGAGCUUGCAUCGGGUACGGGCAGACUAGAGUGCGGUAGGGGAGACUGGAAUUCCUGGUGUAGCGGUGGAAUGCGCAGAUAUCAGGAGGAACACCGAUGGCGAAGGCAGGUCUCUGGGCCGCAACUGACGCUGAGGAGCGAAAGCAUGGGGAGCGAACAGGAUUAGAUACCCUGGUAGUCCAUGCCGUAAACGUUGGGCACUAGGUGUGGGGCUCAUUCCACGAGUUCCGUGCCGCAGCAAACGCAUUAAGUGCCCCGCCUGGGGAGUACGGCCGCAAGGCUAAAACUCAAAGGAAUUGACGGGGGCCCGCACAAGCGGCGGAGCAUGCGGAUUAAUUCGAUGCAACGCGAAGAACCUUACCAAGGCUUGACAUGCACGGGAAGCCACCAGAGAUGGUGGUCUCUUUGGACACUCGUGCACAGGUGGUGCAUGGUUGUCGUCAGCUCGUGUCGUGAGAUGUUGGGUUAAGUCCCGCAACGAGCGCAACCCUCGUCCCAUGUUGCCAGCGGGUUAUGCCGGGGACUCAUGGGAGACUGCCGGGGUCAACUCGGAGGAAGGUGGGGAUGACGUCAAAUCAUCAUGCCCCUUAUGUCUUGGGCUUCACGCAUGCUACAAUGGCCGGUACAAAGGGCUGCGAUACCGUAAGGUGGAGCGAAUCCCAAAAAGCCGGUCUCAGUUCGGAUUGGGGUCUGCAACUCGACCCCAUGAAGUCGGAGUCGCUAGUAAUCGCAGAUCAGCAACGCUGCGGUGAAUACGUUCCCGGGCCUUGUACACACCGCCCGUCAAGUCACGAAAGUCGGUAACACCCGAAGCCCAUGGCCCAACCGUUCGCGGGGGGA
rnacentral:rRNA from 1 species